GACGAACGCUGGCGGCGUGCUUAACACAUGCAAGUCGAACGGAAAGGCCCUGCUUUUGUGGGGUGCUCGAGUGGCGAACGGGUGAGUAACAAGUGAGUAACCUGCCCUUGACUUUGGGAUAACUUCAGGAAACUGGGGCUAAUACCGGAUAGGAGCUCCUGCUGCAUGGUGGGGGUUGGAAAGUUUCGGCGGUUGGGGAUGGACUCGCGGCUUAUCAGCUUGUUGGUGGGGUAGUGGCUUACCAAGGCUUUGACGGGUAGCCGGCCUGAGAGGGUGACCGGCCACAUUGGGACUGAGAUAUGGCCCAGACUCCUACGGGAGGCAGCAGUGGGGAAUAUUGCACAAUGGGCGGAAGCCUGAUGCAGCAACGCCGCGUGCGGGAUGACGGCCUUCGGGUUGUAAACCGCUUUCGCCUGUGACGAAGCGUGAGUGACGGUAAUGGGUAAAGAAGCACCGGCUAACUACGUG
rnacentral:rRNA from 1 species